CCACACACCAUUAUUCCGCGUCACCAACAUCGGCGACUCACACUCACUCCUCCACCUCUCGACCCAAAGAGGCCACACACACACACGAAUACCAUCGUCUCGCGUCACCAACAUCGGCGACUCAUGCUCAAUCCUCCACCUCUCGACCUAAAGAGGCCACACACACACACAAAUACCAUCGUCUCACGUCACCAACAUCGGCGACUCAUGCUCAACCCUCCACCUCUCGACCUAAAGAGGCCACACACACACACACAAAUACCAUCGUCUCGCGUCACCAACAUCGGCGACUCAUACUCACUCCUCCAUCUCUCGACCUCGUUGGGCCACGCACACACACAACAUUUCCACCUCCCGUCACCACCAUCCGUGACUCAUGCACCCUUCUACCCCUCUCGGCCUUGCUAGGCCACACUCACAUACAUAUCCCCUCCCUGCUCCACCAACAUCGGCAACUCAACCCGCCCCUACCAACGGCCUCCAAAUUCCCCCUCCCAAACCGCAUGCUCCCAUCUCUCCUUAUACCAUGCUAGUCCCAAGCGUUCUAACUUGCUAACUCCUACUGACCACAUUACUCCCCUUCUCCCAUCCAAUCCCCCUCAAAUCCUGUUUCCUAGUCCCCACUGCCGUACCUUCCAGCUCCCUUCCCUCUCCCACUGCCCCCUACCCGCUACCUCCCCCAUCCUCCUGCCUCCUCCCGGUUCCUAUACACUUUUGCCUACCUAGGGUGAUUAACCUCUCAGCUUGCACCGUUUCACACCACAUACACGCCCUCACCACCGUGCAUUUCGGGGAAACACAUCACCGCCUAUUAGCGGCUCCCUCCACAUCCUCACCCACGCACACACCACGCACACACCUCUUCUGUCCUCUUGAGUUUUUAUCCCACCCGCGCCCCUUAGAUUAUUCUCUCACAUCCUCCUCACUCUGUUCUACCCGCACCACCCCCAUCCUUCCCCACGGCUCCCCACACGCCUCCAACACCGCCAUACUUUCCAUUCCUUCCCCGAUCACCUCCGUGAGCGCGCGGGACAACCCCACGCUUACGGCCUACCUUCACUGCUCCACUCCGUCGCGCCAUUGCCGACGCCGCACCUGCACAAAAUUCUCUACACACACACACACCGCACCAACAGCUCAAAUUUUCACCGUACCUCCCGUUUCCAUCUUCCUUAUUCCUGCCGGUCGCGUCGUCCGUCCACGACCUCCUUCCCUCUCCCUUCUCGCUCCCCUCCACCCCGACUCUCUCCUCUCUCCUUCUGGAACUUUCCUCUUCUUCUUCGUCUCCGCUGUCCUCCUUCCCUCCUUUUCUCUUUUUCUCUUUUUCCUUUUCUUUCCCUUUUUUUUUUCUUUUUUUCUCUUCCUCCCUUCUCCCUUUCCCGACCUCCUUUUAUACUCUGCCAGCCUAUCCCAAAACGACGUCGUUUUCCUACAUCCCAAAACGACGUCGUUUUUCUUUCUUUCAAAACGACGUCGUUUUU
rnacentral:lncRNA from 1 species